rnacentral:rRNA from 1 species
UACGGAGGAUGCAAGCGUUAGCCAGGAUUAUUGGGCGUAAAGCGUCCGCAGGUGGUUAUCCAAGUCUUCUGUUAAAGCGCGAGGCUUAACUUCGUACAGGCAGUGGAAACUGGGUGACUGGAGUAUGGUAGGGGUAGCGGGAAUUCCCAGUGUAGCGGUGAAAUGCGUAGAUAUUGGGAAGAACACCAGCGGCGAAAGCGCGCUACUGGGCCAUUACUGACACUCAUGGACGAAAGCUAGGGGAGCGAAAGGG